rnacentral:tRNA from 1 species
GGUUGUGGCUCAGGGGUAGAGUGCUGGUCUUGCAUGUGUGAGGCACUGGGUUCUAUCCUCAGCACCA